rnacentral:tRNA from 1 species
UGGGUGAUAACUCAGUUGGUUAAGAGUGCCACUCUGAUACAGUGGAAGUCGUAGGUUCAAAUCCUACUCACCCAA